rnacentral:rRNA from 1 species
UACAGAGGGUGCGAGCGUUGUCCGGAAUCACUGGGCGUAAAGGGCGCGUAGGCGGCUUGAUAAGCGUGCGGUGAAAGCCCGGGCCUCAACCCCGGGUCGGCCGUGCGAACUGUCGAGCUGGAGCACUGUAGAGGCAGGUGGAAUUCCGGGUGUAGCGGUGGAAUGCGUAGAGAAUCCGGAAGAACACCGGUGGCGAAGGCGGCCUGCUGGGCAGUGGCUGACGCUG